rnacentral:rRNA from 1 species
GACGAACGCUGGCGGCGUGCCUAAUACAUGCAAGUAGAACGCUGAAGGAGGAGCUUGCUCCUCCGGAUGAGUUGCGAACGGGUGAGUAACGCGUAGGUAACCUGCCUGGUAGCGGGGGAUAACUAUUGGAAACGAUAGCUAAUACCGCAUAACAGUAGAUGUUGCAUGACAUUUGCUUAAAAGGUGCAAUUGCAUCACUACCAGAUGGACCUGCGUUGUAUUAGCUAGUUGGUGAGGUAACGGCUCACCAAGGCGACGAUACAUAGCCGACCUGAGAGGGUGAUCGGCCACACUGGGACUGAGACACGGCCCAGACUCCUACGGGAGGCAGCAGUAGGGAAUCUUCGGCAAUGGACGGAAGUCUGACCGAGCAACGCCGCGUGAGUGAAGAAGGUUUUCGGAUCGUAAAGCUCUGUUGUAAGAGAAGAACGAGUGUGAGAGUGGAAAGUUCACACUGUGACGGUAUCUUACCAGAAAGGGACGGCUAACUACGUG